GUUCCUGUAGUUAAAGUUUAGUAACGGUGGUUUUUCAGGCCAUAGGUCUCGGAGAGAAGCCGAGUAGGAACU
rnacentral:tRNA from 1 species